GAACGCUAGCGGCGUACCUAACGCAUGCAAGUCGAACGGGGAAAUUUUAGCAAUAAGACUUCCUAGUGGCAAACGGGUGAGUAACACGUAGGGAUCUACCUCAGAGUGGGGAAUAACGAACUGAAAGGUUCGCUAAUACCGCAUGAUGUCGCAAGACCAAAGGGGUCGCAAGACUUUGCUUUGAGCGGAGCCUGCGUUCGAUCAGAUAGUUGGUGAGGUAACGGCUCACCAAGUCGAUGACCGAUAGCUGUUCUGAGAGGAAGACCAGCCACACUGGGACUGCGACACGGCCCAGACUCCUACGGGAGGCAGCAGCGAGGAAUAUUGCACAAUGGAGGAAACUCUGAUGCAGUAACGCCGCGUGGGGGAAGAAGACCUUCGGGUUGUAAACCUCUUUUUGUAGAGACGAGUGAGGACGGUAUCUAUAGAAUAAGUCUCGGCUAACUACGUGCCAGCAGCCGCGGUAAGACGUAGGAGGCGAGCGUUAUCCGGAUUCACUGGGCGUAAAGCGCAUGUAGGCGGUUGUGGAAGUCGUGUGUUAAAGCCCCUGGCUCAACUGGGGGAGGUCAUGCGAGACUCCACGGACUCGAGGGCAGCAGAGGCACGUGGAACUCCCGGUGUAGCGGUGGAAUGCGUAGAGAUCGGGAAGAACACCCGUGGCGAAGGCGACGUGCUGGGCUGCAUCUGACGCUGAGAUGCGAAAGUGUGGGGAGCAAACGGGAUUAGAUACCCCGGUAGUCCACACUGUAAACGAUGAACCCUAGGUGUGGGACGGUCAAACGUUCCGUGCCGAAGCCAACGCGUUAAGGGUUCCGCCUGGGGACUAUGAGCGCAAGCUUAAAACUCAAAGGAAUUGACGGGGGCCCGCACAAGCAGCGGAGCGUGCGGUUCAAUUCGAUGCGACACGAAGAACCUUACCAGGGUUUGACAUGCAGGUGGUAGGGAAGGGAAACUGGACCGACCCGCAAGGGAGCCUGCACAGGUGAUGCAUGGCUGUCGUCAGCUCGUGCCGUGAGGUGUUGGGUUAAGUCCCGCAACGAGCGCAACCAUCGCCUUUAGUUGCCAUCAUUCAGUUGGGCACUCUAAAGGGACUGCCGGUGAUAAGCCGGAGGAAGGUGGGGAUGACGUCAAGUCCUCAUGGCCAUUACGGGUAGGGCUACACACGUGCUACAAUGGCGGUGACAGAGGGCAGCGACCCCGCGAGGGGAUGCUAAUCCUAAAAAGCCGUCUCAGUUCGGAUUGCACUCUGCAACUCGGGUGCAUGAAGUCGGAAUCGCUAGUAAUCGCUAAUCAGCAGGUAGCGGUGAUACGUUCCCGGGCAUGCACACAC
rnacentral:rRNA from 1 species